CCUGCGCAGUGGGGGCGGGCGCUCGCGGGACCCGAGCUUCUGUGAGGGUCGCGUCCUGAGCGUCGGAUGGCGAAGCCCGGGGCGGAGUCGGACCCCCUGCUGGGCCGCGCCCGCGGCGGCAGCGGCGACUGCCCGGCGGGGCUGGCCACUUGCCGCAGCGUCCAAGCCAGCCCUGGUGCUGUGGCCAGCUGGGGCCUCCGCAUCGACCAAGCUGUGGUCUUCAUCGAAGACGCGAUUAAGUACCGCUCCAUCAACCACCGCGUGGACGCCCGCUCGCUGUGGCUUUACCGGUGGUAUUACUCCGACCUGUGCCAAGGGACUUUGAACUUCGCUAUUUACUUGAUCCUGUCUUUGGCUUUUAUUGAGACUCCCUCUUCGCUCAGUAGAACAGCGGACGUGCGCUACCGCUCCCCGCCCUGGGAGCCUCCGUGCGGCCUGACGGAGAGCGUGGAGGUGCUCUGCCUGCUGGUCUUCGUGGCCGACCUCUCCACGAAGGGCUACCUGUUUGGGCGGGCCCAUUUCCAGAAGAACCUCUGGUUGCUGGCCUACCUCGGGGUGCUGAUUGUGUCUCUGGUAGACUGGACCGUGUCUGUGAGUCUCCUUUGUCGGGAGCCCCUGCGUGUCCGCCGGCUCCUGCGCCCCUUCUUCCUGCUGCAGAACUCCUCCAUGAUGAAGAAGACCCUGAAGUGCAUUAGGUGGUCGCUGCCGCAGAUGGCCAGUGUUGGGCUGCUGCUGGCCAUUCACCUGUGUUUCUUCACCAUGUUUGGGAUGCUGCUGUUCGCUGGCGAGAAGGAUGACGGGCAGAACAGGGAGAGGAUGACCUACUUCCGGAACCUGCCAGAUGCUCUGACUUCGCUCCUGGUGCUGCUGACCACUGCCAACAACCCUGAUGUGAUGAUUCCUGCGUAUUCCAGGAACCGGGCCUACGCCAUCUUCUUCAUCGUCUUCACCCUGAUAGGAAGCUUGUUUUUGAUGAACCUGUUGACAGCCAUCAUCUACAGUCGGUUCCGCGGUUACCUGAUGCAAUCUCUCCAGACCUCGCUGUUUCGCAGGCGACUGGGGACCCGGGCUGCCUAUGAAGUCCUCUCCUCCAUGUCUGGGAAGGGAGAAGCCUCCCCUCAGGGAGUUGGGGUGAAGCCCCAGAACUUACUACAUGUGCUUCGGAAAGUGCAGCUGAACAGCUUCCACAAGCAGGCCCUCAUAGAGAAGGUGUGCUCCUACGGGGACGUCCCCCUGUCGGCCAGCGAGUUUCAGAGAAUCUUCAACGAGCUUGACAAAACUGUGGUUAAAGAGCACCCGGCGAGGCCCGAGUACCAGUCUCCGUUUCUGCAGAGCGCCCAGUUCCUCUUUGGCCACUACUACUUCGACUACCUGGGGAACUUCAUUGCCCUGGGAAACCUUGUAUCCAUUUGCGUGUUCCUGGUGCUGGAUGCAGACGUGCUGCCCGGUGACCGGGAUGACUUCAUCCUGGGGAUUCUCAACUGCAUCUUCAUCCUGUACUAUGUGCUGGAAAUGCUGCUCAAGGUCUUUGCUCUGGGCCUGCGAGGCUACCUGUCCUACCCCAGCAACGUGUUCGACGGGCUCCUCACCACAGUCCUGCUGGAGGCCACAGAUGCAGGGCCUGCUGUCACUGUGGGACAUGGUGCGGCUGCUGAACAUGCUCAUCGUGUUCCGGUUCCUGCGCAUCAUCCCGAACAUGAAGUGUCUGUCCGGCUACAGCAGGCGGCGGACUGGGCGUAUUUGAAGCUUUUCUCCGGGUCAGGUUGUGUGUGGGCCGAGCGACCCUCCGCAGCCAUCUCCUCUGGCUGGCUCUCUGAGGUGCCCUUGUCACAGUCAGCCACCUCCAGGCCACAGAGGGCUCAUCCGCCCUCGAAUCAGCAGGCGGACUGUGGCCUGAGGUCCCAGCCGAUGGCUGUCGUGGCCAGUACCGUCUUGGGCCUGAUACAGAACAUGCGGGCGUUCGGUGGGAUCCUGGUGGUGGUCUACUACGUGUUUGCCAUCAUCGGGAUCAACUUGUUCCGUGGUAUCAUUGUGGCUCCUCCUGGAAACGGCAGGUCCCUGGACCCCACCCUCACCCAGGUGUGCCCCAUCCACCAGCCUGGCCCCUGCCAAUGGCUCGGCGCCCUGCGGGAGCUUCGAGCAGCUGGAGUACUGGGCCAACAACUUCGACGACUUUGCUGCCGCCCUGAUCACACUGUGGAACGUAAUGGUGGUGAACAACUGGCAGGUGUUUCUGGAUGCGUAUCGGCGCUACUCGGGCCCGUGAGUCCCCGUCCCAACAGCGUGGGUCGGAGUGAAGACUGGGGGCUCCCUCCCCUCGGUGUGGCGCAGGGAGUGGGUCCUUGGCAGGAAAGCCUGCCAGCGCGCGCCCCUGGCUGGCCUCGUCCCUGCCCCGCCCCCGGCGCUGGCUGAGGACUCUGGGCUUCCGCCUCCUGGGGGGAGUUGGUGUGUCUGGCUGGGGAAUCUGGCAGGGCGGGGAAGCCCCGGACAGCUCAGGCCAGCCCCGGUGGAUGGUCAUGGGUUUGUGUCCUGCCCCACCUCCUGCCGGCCGAGCUGCCUGAGCCACUUGCUUGACGUUUCUGAGCUGUGGUUGGAUUACCUCCGAAGUGGACGUGGUCACGUGCUCUACCCCUGUGGUCCCAACCCCCGGUCAGUGGCCCAGUACUGGUCUGUGGCCUGUUAGGAAAUGGGCCGCGCAUCACCGCCAGAGUUCUGAACCCCUCCCCCAUGACAUCCUCCCACCCCCCACCUGGUCCGUGGAAAAAUUGCCUUCUAUGAAACCCGGUGUCUGGUGCCAAAAAGGUUGGGGAACAUUGCUCCGUGUCAUGGAGUCCCCGGGUGAGAUUCAGUGAGAGCUGUCCUGGCCACACGUCGUUGUGUUUGAGUGAUCUCACUCUGCUCAUGGGGGGCCUGGGUGGGCCUCUUGCUCCUCUGCAGGUGGUCCAAGAUCUAUUUUGUGUCGUGGUGGCUGGUGUCAUCUGUCAUCUGGGUCAACCUGUUCCUGGCUCUGAUGUUGGAGAAUUUCCUUCAUAAGUGG